GGUGAUAUUUCAAUCAGCAUGAUCCUAAUCCGAUCAGUGACUUGGUGAAGUAGUGGGAGGAUUAUGAUCUACUGAUUGAUCUCUUCUCUUUUCUCUUCUUAAAAAUCAAAAUUAAAUUCUCUAAUUAUUAGGUUCCUUAAAUGAGUUGGUUAUGAUAAUAACUGGAUCAUAGCCUCCUAUUAAGUUUGAUGAUAAUGGUCUAUUAGUAUGAUGAUCAUUGGAGGCCCAAAGGCC
rnacentral:lncRNA from 1 species